GCUGGGCGUCAUGGCGGGUGCCUGUAAUCCCAGCUACUUAGGAGGCUGAGGCAGGAGAAUUGCUUGAACCUGGGAGGCGGAGGUUGCAGUGAGCUGAGACUGCUCCACUGCACUCUGACCUGGGUGACAGAGCGAGACUCUGUCUCUU
rnacentral:sRNA from 1 species